rnacentral:rRNA from 1 species
UACGGAGGAUCCAAGCGUUAUCCGGAAUCAUUGGGUUUAAAGGGUCCGUAGGCGGCCUUAUAAGUCAGUGGUGAAAUCUCCUGGCUCAACCGGGAAAUUGCCAUUGAUACUGUAGGGCUUGAAUUAUUAGGAAGUAACUAGAAUAUGUAGUGUAGCGGUGAAAUGCUUAGAUAUUACAUGGAAUACCGAUUGCGAAGGCAGGUUACUACUAAUUGAUUGACGCUGAUGGACGAAAGCGUGGGUAGCGAACAGGA